rnacentral:tRNA from 1 species
GGGCGGGUAUAGGCGCUGGUCCCGCCCGUUCCCGGGCUGACCUACCAGCGAGGGGCCACUGGUUCGAACCCAGUACCGCCCACCA